rnacentral:rRNA from 1 species
GACGAACGCUGGCGGCGUGCUUAACACAUGCAAGUCGAACGAAGUGGCGAACGGGUGAGUAACGCGUAAUCAACCGGCACAUCAGAGGGGGACAACAGUUGGAAACGACUGCUAAUAACGCAUACUGAAGGAGGGGAUUGCGUCUGCUUAGUUAGUGGGAGGGGGAACGGCCCACCAAGGCGAUGAUCAGCAGUCGGGCUCAAAGUAUGAACGGCCACAUUGGGACUGAUACGCGGACCCAACCCCUACGGGGUGCAGGAGUGGGGAAUCUUCCGCAAUGGACGAACGUCUGACUGUGCAACGCCGCGUGAGUGAUGACGGCCUUCGGGUUGUAAAGCUCUUUUCAUCCGGACGCGGUACCGGAAUAGUAAGCCACGGCUAACUACGUGCCAGCAGCCGCGGUAAUAC